AGCUUUGCGCAGUGGCAGUAUCGUAGCCAAUGAGGUUUAUCCGAGGCUCGAUUAUUGCUAAUUGAAAACUUUUCCCAAUCCCCUGCCAUGAUGACUUGAAAUAUAGUCGGCAUUGGCAAUUUUUGACAGUCUCUACGGAGA
ensembl:snRNA U4 U4 spliceosomal RNA